GACGGAGGGGGCUAGCGUUGUUCGGAAUGACUGGGCGUAAAGGGCGUGUAGGCUGUUGAUCAAGUCAAGCGUGAAAGCCUCGGGCUUAACCCGAGAAUGGCGUUUGAUACUGGUUGACUUGAGGACGAGAGAGGAAAGUGGAAUUCCGAGUGUAGAGGUGAAAUUCGUAGAUAUUCGGAGGAACAUCAGAGGCGAAGGCGACUUUCUGGCUCGUAUCUGACGCUGAGGCGCGAAAGCGUGGGGAGCAAACAGG
rnacentral:rRNA from 1 species